GCGCCCUUAGCUCAGUUGGAUAGAGCAACGGCCUUCUAAGUCGUGGGCCGCAGGUUCGAAUCCUGCAGGGCGCGCCA
rnacentral:tRNA from 1 species